rnacentral:rRNA from 1 species
AACGGGUGAGGAACACGUGAGGAAUCUGCCCAUCAUUUGGGAUAACACCGGGAAACCGGGGCUAAUACCGAAUACUCCGUCUUGGCGGCAUCGCUAAGCCGGGAAAGAAUUUCGAUGAUGGAUGAUCUCGCGGCCUAUCAGCUAGUUGGUGAGGUAACGGCUCACCAAGGCAACGACGGGUAGCCGGCCUGAGAGGGCGACCGGCCACACUGGGACUGAGACACGGCCCAGACUCCUACGGGAGGCAGCAGUAGGGAAUAUUGGGCAAUGGGCGCAAGCCUGACCCAGCGACGCCGCGUGAGGGAUGAGGGUCUUCGGAUUGUAAACCUCUUUCAGUAGGGAAGAAGCGAAAGUGACGGUACCUAAAGAAGAAGCACCGGCUAACUAUGUGCCAGCAGCCGCGGUAAUACAUAGGGUGCAAGCGUUGUCCGGAAUUAUUGGGCGUAAAGAGCUCGUAGGUCGUUAAUCACGUCGGAUGUGAAAAUCUGAGGCUCAACCUCAGACCUGCAUUCGAUACGGGUUAACUAGAGUGUGGUAGGGGAGACUGGAAUUCCUGGUGUAGCGGUGGAAUGCGCAGAUAUCAGGAGGAACACCUAUGGCGAAGGCAGGUCUCUGGGCCAUUACUGACACUGAGGAGCGAAAGUUCGGGGAGCGAACAGGAUUAGAUACCCUGGUAGUCCGAACCGUAAACGGUGGACGCUAGUUGUGGGAACCUUCCACGGUUUCCGCGACGCAGCUAACGCAUUAAGCGUCCCGCCUGGGGAGUACGAUCGCAAGAUUAAAACUCAAAGGAAUUGACGGGGCCCCGCACAAGCGGCGGAGCAUGCGGCUCAAUUCGAUGCAACGCGAAGAACCUUACCAAGGCUUGACAUAUAGCGAAAAGUGGCAGAGAUGUCAUGUCCGCAAGGGCGCUAUACAGGUGGUGCAUGGUUGUCGUCAGCUCGUGUCGUGAGAUGUUGGGUUAAGUCCCGCAACGAGCGCAACCCUCGUCCUAUGUUGCCAGCACAUAAUGGUGGGAACUCAUGGGAGACUGCCGGGGUCAACUCGGAGGAAGGUGGGGAUGACGUCAAAUCAUCAUGCCCCUUAUGUCUUGGGCUGCACGCAUGCUACAAUGGCUGGUACAAGUGCUGCAUACCGCAGGUUGAGCGAAUCACAUAAAGCCAGUCUCAGUUCGGAUUGGGGUCUUAAC